rnacentral:rRNA from 1 species
CUGGCUCAGGACAAACGCUGGCGGCGUGCCUAACACAUGCAAGUCGAACGAAGCACUGUGGAAAGAGACUCGGUCAAUUGAAACUUUGACUUAGUGGCGGACGGGUGAGUAAUGCAUGAGCAACCUGCCCUGGAGAGGGGGACAACAGCUGGAAACGGCUGCUAAUACCGCAUGAUGUCACCGGGAGGCAUCUUCUGGUGACCAAAGAUUUAUCGCUCUGGGAUGGGCUCAUGUCUGAUUAGAUAGUUGGCGGGGCAACGGCCCACCAAGUCUGCGAUCAGUAGCCGGACUGAGAGGUUGAACGGCCACAUUGGGACUGAGAUACGGCCCAGACUCCUACGGGAGGCAGCAGUGGGGAAUAUUGGGCAAUGGGCGCAAAGCCUGACCCAGCAACGCCGCGUGAAGGAAGAAGGCUUUCGGGUUGUAAACUUCUUUUAUCAGGGACGAAGAAAGUGACGGUACCUGAUGAAUAAGCCACGGCUAACUACGUGCCAGCAGCCGC